rnacentral:rRNA from 1 species
AUUGAACGCUGGCGGCAGGCCUAACACAUGCAAGUCGAGCGGAUGAAGGGAGCUUGCUCCUGGAUUCAGCGGCGGACGGGUGAGUAAUGCCUAGGAAUCUGCCUGGUAGUGGGGGAUAACGUCCGGAAACGGGCGCUAAUACCGCAUACGUCCUGAGGGAGAAAGUGGGGGAUCUUCGGACCUCACGCUAUCAGAUGAGCCUAGGUCGGAUUAGCUAGUUGGUGGGGUAAAGGCCUACCAAGGCGACGAUCCGUAACUGGUCUGAGAGGAUGAUCAGUCACACUGGAACUGAGACACGGUCCAGACUCCUACGGGAGGCAGCAGUGGGGAAUAUUGGACAAUUGGCGAAAGCCUGAUCCAGCCAUGCCGCGUGUGUGAAGAAGGUCUUCGGAUUGUAAAGCACUUUAAGUUGGGAGGAAGGGCAGUAAGUCAAUACCUUGCUGUUUUGACGUUACCAACAGAAUAAGCACCGGCUAACUUCGUG